UUGAACGCUGGCGGCAUGCCUUACACAUGCAAGUCGAACGGUAACGCGGGGCAACCUGGCGACGAGUGGCGAACGGGUGAGUAAUAUAUCGGAACGUGCCCAAUAGUGGGGGAUAGCCCGGCGAAAGCCGGAUUAAUACCGCAUGAGACCUGAGGGUGAAAGCGGGGGACUCGCAAGAGCCUCGCGCUAUUGGAGCGGCCGAUAUCAGAUUAGGUAGUUGGUGGGGUAAAAGCCUACCAAGCCGACGAUCUGUAGCUGGUCUGAGAGGACGACCAGCCACACUGGGACUGAGACACGGCCCAGACUCCUACGGGAGGCAGCAGUGGGGAAUUUUGGACAAUGGGCGCAAGCCUGAUCCAGCCAUGCCGCGUGCGGGAAGAAGGCCUUCGGGUUGUAAACCGCUUUUGUCAGGGAAGAAAUCCUUUGAGUUAAUACCUCGGGGGGAUGACGGUACCUGAAGAAUAAGCACCGGCUAACUACGU
rnacentral:rRNA from 1 species